ACACCGGGACCAACAGGAUCGAAGUGGCGCGGCUGGACGGGCAGUUCCGGCAAGUCCUCGUGUGGAGGGACUUGGACAACCCGAGGUCACUGGCCCUGGAUCCCACCAAGGGCUACAUCUACUGGACCGAGUGGGGCGGCAAGCCGAGGAUCGUGCGGGCCUUCAUGGACGGGACCAGCUGCAUGACGCUGGUGGACAAGGUGGGCCGGGCCAACGACCUCACCAUUGACUAUACAGACCAACGCCUCUACUGGACCGACCUGGACACCAACAUGAUCGAGUCGUCCAACAUGCUGGGUACUGCGUAGGCAGAGCUGGCACUUGAACCCCGUGUCCUGGUUGCUGCUGGGGGUGGGCUGCACCCUGACUUGUGAGGCCAGUAGCAAGGUUUGCACGUGACUUCGUGACCGUCACCCAGCUCUGCAGCGCAUCCAUGACCCAGCUCAUCCAGGCCGCAUGCAAACCUGUUGCCAGGCGAGAAACCAGUCACAGCACAGCUGUGGUUGCCUGAAAUCAUUAAGCUCAUUAAUCAC
rnacentral:sRNA from 1 species